rnacentral:misc_RNA from 2 species
AACGCACAUUGCGCCUCUUGGUAUUCCGAGAGGCAUGUCUGUCCGAGCGUCAUAUCACUCUCAAGGUUGCUCUUUUGUGAACUUGGUCCUGAGCCUGGAGCGCCACAAGGUCUCCGGCUCUAACGUGGUACGCUUGCGGUCCCUGUUAAACCUCAAACAUGAUAAAUAUUUCUAUUGCUUGGUGGUACUUGACGGUGGACUUGCCCCAAACUUCUUUCAAAGUUUGACCUCGGAUCAGAUAAGGAUACCCGCUGAACUUAA